UGGGUUCGUUACUGAGCCACAAUGGGAACUCCUGGAAUUGGGUUUUGGGGGCCAAGGGGACCAGGGAGGAGAGCCACUGGAAAGGACAGAGGCACAAUUGUUCAGGGGAAAAGAUGGGCGGGGGCGCGGAGAAUGUUUUGUGAAAGUGGCCACCCUCAUGGAAGCCUUAAAGGUGGGUGGGGUGGGGCAAGAGGAGACUGGUCUGUCCUGCUCAGGCCUGGGGACCCUGGAACCCUGGUGAGGGCUUUGGAGCUGGCCAGGUGCCCAGGGGCCACCUCCCACCUCCAUUACCCUCAGAACGGAGAAGCCAAGAAAGGGAACCCAGCAAGGUACUCCCGUUUCAGUCUCUGGCAGGACGGUCCUGCGUAGAAUGUUCCUAUGGGGUAAAGGCGUUAUUACUUCUCUCCUCCUGGCCCAGGGCUUGAUGGCUGAGCAAACGCCUAUGCUUUAUAAGACUGAUGUGCUACCCUUUUUUUUUUUUUUCCCACUUUUGGCCGCCCCUGUGGCAUAUAGAGCUCCUGGGCCAGGGAUCAGACCUCAACCACAUUCAAGACCUAAGACUUAGCUGUGGCAAUGCUAGAUCCUUAACCCACUGUGCCGGGCUGGGGAUAGAACCCACGUCCCAGUGCUGCCAAGAUGCUGCCAAUCCCAUUGCACCACAGUGGGAGCUCCAUACCUGCUGCUUUAUGUAGUUGAUGUGGGGGGAGAAUGGAGCGGGUGGUCAAGCCCUUUGCUCCUUGAAAGGUCGAGCUUCUGGACUGGGACCAGGUCCAGCUAAUCCUGGGAUGGGCGCCUCCUCCUCCCUGCUCAGUCCUCCAGGCUGAAAACAACAGCCACCCCCAGGCACUGGACUGGGUGCUUGUUACAGCAACCCUGUGAGAUGGGAUCAUGAUAAACAUAUCACAGGGGAGGAAACUGAGGCUUCAGAGGUUAGGUGAAGAGUCCAGACUUAGCUAGAAAGGGGAGCAGUUGGACUUUAAAUGGUAAGAUACUGUUAAGGGAAAAAAGGUAGAACAUUUUUGGGUUUACGGUCUUUGGAGUUUAAAAAAAAAAAAAGAAAAAAUUUCAAAUCCAAUUUUGGACUUGCCAAGCACUUUGCAUGUAUUAUUUCUGUUUGUCUUUUCAAACAAUGCUAUAAAGUAUUCUGAUUCCUAUUUUAUGAAGGGGGAAAAAAGGGGGCUCAGGAAGGGGAAGGUUUACGUGGAAAUCUACCCAGGUAGCACAUCAUGGAGCUGGGCUCAGAAUCCAGUCUGGCUAUUCCCAGGGAGGAUUUUUGGAAUCUUGCUUCCUAGAAUCGACUCUCCCCUGGGCCAGGGAUUCUGUCUUUAGCUGCCUCAUAUUUUCAUUAAACCCGCCUCGGGUGCCCAGGCCCAACUCAGAAAGAUUUUGUGGGAAAGGCUGCCACCUUGUGGCCAAAGAGCAAGCCCACCAUUUAGCAGCUGGCUAUGACCUGGAAAGGCAGGGCUUUGGGAACAGGUGAAGUUGGUCUCCGAAGAGAGACUUCCGCUGGUGCAGACUUGCUUCUGGAAGGCUUCUCCACAGUCAGAGGGCCAGCUCCGGCAUCGCAGGGGUGGGGACUUCAGGUUCCCCAGCUGCUAAGGGUGGAAAGUGGACCUUGGCUGUGGGCACAGUGGACCGCAACUUUUCUGCAAAGUCCCGUUCGGGGAAUUCUGGAAGCUUCGGAAGUUGUCCGGGACAACGCUGUGUUUGGUCACUGGGACUGCUGAUGGAGGACUCAACGGCUUUCUUAGAUAGCCAGGCUUCACGUUGCUGAGAUUUCUGACCUUCAGAAGGAUGUCACCCUUUCCGAAGAUCCCUUGAGGCCGAGAGCAGCGCUCUCCCACCAAGAGUCCAGCAGGCCAGCCCGGCAAGCCUCGGCUUCCCAGUCCCUAUGAUCACAGAAAGGGCCUCUUAAAAGGUGAGCAUGACACAGCAACCCCGUAAGUUGCCAAAUCCUCUUAAUUGUGUGUAAGUAGCUCUCAGAUCUCCCUCUGUCUUCUCUGCUGGUGACUGCGUUUUUUUGUGUGUGGCUUACCCUUCUCCUCCGGUCCUGUCCCCUUCUGAUCUAUCUUCCUGGACACCCGAGGAAGCCUGAGCGGUCUUUCUAACGCGACAAAUCCCAACACAGGGCUCUCUGCACAUCAAACCCUGGAACAGCCCCCCAUUGUCCUCAGGAUAAAUGCAGGUCUGCAAACGAUUCCCUUCCUCCUGCUGCCCCUGACCAAGUGGCUCUUUCUUGCAGUAUAACGCGCCCUCGCCUCCAGCAACAUUGAGUGAGUUUUCUGAAAAACCAUCCCCUGUUUUGUUUUUUUUGGGGGGUGGGGGGGGGCUCCGUGGCUUUUCCCAGGUGUCACACUCUGUCUGACUGCCCCUUGCUGACCGCUUUGCCUGCCUAAUUCCGACUGCCCCGUAGACGUGAGUCUACCUCUUCUGUGAAGCAACCCUUGGCCCCAACUGGGAUGGCAGAGGCCCUGCUAUGUGGUCACCCAAUCUUUCAUGUUCAUUGGCUUCUGAGGCGCCCAGAGAGCCAACGUCUCCUGGGCUUCCCUGCAGGUAAGUUGAAGUCCCCCCACCGUGGGCUCGCCAGGAGGGAUGGCGGAGCCCUGCUGUGUCUAGGUGGGCUCAUGAAGGCCCUCAUUCCUGGGUUUAUUUGUUCACACUUGUUAACCGAUCCCAGCCCACCCUCUUCGGACUGAUGGAGUGACGCCCCCCUCCCCCCUUGUGCUCCGGGCCUCCGUGACAGUGCUCGUCACACGUGACCCUCCACCUUCCCCUGAUGGCUCCCUGGCAAUUUCCAGGAGUUGCUUUUAUUUCAUUCACUAAACAAUUUAUGAAUUGAAUUAAAAUAAAUGAGAUGCAAAUAAAUUCCAGGCUUUCUCCCUCAUUUUCAAAUUACAUUUUCAGUCCACUCAACCUGUUAUAAUCUCAUAGUGAUUUUCAUUUAAGAGAGCUAAAUGGAUAUGUGAUUAUUGUUACAGGAACUAACACCAGACAAUUAAAUGUUGAGGUGUUGAUAGAUAAAGCUGUGUUUCGAUUUGCAUAAACACGAUGCCAGCAAAUCUAACCCUGGCAGAAAUUCAGUUUUAAGACUUGGGCACCUACCGUCUGCUAAUUACUGCAAGUAGCAUUAGGACAAUUUUUAAUAUUUCAGCGUUGGGAUUAUAGCCAUUUUAUGUUAGGGUCACAUUUAUCUUUAUUUUGGAAACUUAGUCAAAAAUGCAUAACUGAUUUAUUGGAGAAAAGGCACGGCUACUACUUAUAAUCAACUUCUACAGUGCAGUGUAUCAAAAAUCAAUUAUACAGCCCCGAAAAUCCAGUCAUUAAGGAUUUAGCUGCUAAUCUCAUUUCAUUUUUGUCUUCAGGAAGAUACUGCGGCUUGCAACUUUGCAGAUACCAGCAGAGGACGAAAAACAUGGGAGACUGCUGAUAACCUAAUGUGGAGACUUAAACUCCAACGAGACAAAAGCAGAAUCUUAAUAUGGAGUGGCCCAGCGCUGCAGGGAGGUCACCUGGGCUGGUUGGAUUUCGAUCCAAUAAUACGGCACAAGUAAUGACCCAAGUUUUGUGUACGGGCCGAUCCACUGCAAAUCAAGCCCAGGAUUCUUCAAGAAAAUCAAGAGAAAAAGCAACCUUUCUGCCCCUCAUGCGUUUGCAGCUGACUCCACCGCUGAUGCCACCUCCACUCAAGAGAAAUCUGAAGAGACUCCACUAGUACGAGGAAAACGUCACCUGCACAAUUCCUCUUCUUGCUUGUCCUGGACUGUCAUGUCAAACAGCAACAGUAACCAUGGGGUAGUCAGAAGCCUUUGAGAACCUAGUCUGGGCAUGAGUUUGCUAAGGUCUCUGUGAUUAUAGGACAACCACCUCAUCACACGGAUGCUUGGAAGAGAGAUGCAGAAUGGGACUAAAGAACCACCUCCCUAACAAAACCAAGGUGAGUUCAAGAGAGUAAAACAGCCUUGGAGAAGGUAACCAGUUGUGCUGGUUUGGCAGGGAGUGCUGGUGAUGGAGAGGUGGAGGCAGAGGGUGAGGUGGGGGUGUGUGUGAAAACUGACAUUUUCAGGUAAAUGUGUAUACUUCCAAAUAACUUGACAUUUGGUUUGGUAUAGAUGACAUUCUCCUGCAUCUGGUUUUCUCUAAGACUGACCUCUUGUAGAGUUAGUUUGUAGUGGACUAAAACAGCAAGAUGAGGGCUGCAAGGUCUCUGGAGGUCCUGCUAGGCUUGGUAGCUCACACCUCUGGGCUUGGCUGAG